rnacentral:lncRNA from 1 species
CCCACCUCUGCUCUGCCUCCACACUCCUUGGGUCAGCUGCUUGAUUUUGAAUGGAUCACUCACUCAAGUUUGCAAGGACCAAACUCUGUUUAUUAGGUUGUGAACGUAUAUUAUUUUCCAUUGAGAACCAAAUUGACAACGUGUAUAUUGGAUUUCCAGAAAUAUGUAAGUCUUCUGCAGAAUUUCAAGGAACAACAUGGUAUCCCCUCACUUCCAUUUUGAUGAAGAAACUGAGGCCCAAGGUCCCUUAAGUAGUAAGCCUCAGAGGCAAAACCAGGUCUUCCUGACUCCAAGUCCAAUCUCUAGUCAGUAAGUGACUAUGCCUCAGGAAUCCAGAGGUUCCUCUUAGAAUCCCUAGCUUUCUUUAGGUUCUAGUUCGUGUACCAUUUCUUAUAGGAGAUCUUAACUGGCCCCUCUAAAUGUUAGUGUUCUUUGCUUCUUCCUCAAAUGAUCAUGAAUAUAUUUCUCUGAACAUUUUUAAUGUCUUUGGGAAAAUGUAUCUUUUUU